UACGGGGGGGGCAAGCGUUGUUCGGAAUUACUGGGCGUAAAGGGCGCGUAGGCGGCCUGCUAAGUCGGGUGUGAAAACUCUGGGCUCAACCCAGAGCCUGCAUUCGAUACUGACGGGCUAGAGUUCCGGAGGGGAAAGCGGAAUUCCUGGUGUAGCGGUGAAAUGCGUAGAUAUCAGGAGGAACACCGGUGGCGAAGGCGGCUUUCUGGACAGAAACUGACGCUGAGGCGCGAAAGCUAGGGGAGCAAACAGG
rnacentral:rRNA from 1 species